CCCUGUGACCUCUGUGUGCCUGUAAGUGUGCGGUUUUUGUUUACUUUCAGAUUUUUAGUGAGUGAGGAGUCCCUGUUGUGUUUUUGUUUACCCCUCUCCCUCCUGCCCGUCUCCUUCACUCUCUGCUCACCUGCAUUGGAUCUGCAAUCAACACUCCUGCCAGCCAUCAUCCAAUCACCACUGCCUACAAGAACCCUGCACUGAUAUCCAGUCCCUGCUGGAUCAUUGUGCCUACAUGGACCCAUCUGCAUCCAGCUCUGCCACCUUCCACACUCACCUGCCUGUUCACCACCAUCUGGAUCCCUCCCUCAGCUAUCCCUUGAUCCUGCACUUCUGUAAUAAAACCUUGGGAAACAA